rnacentral:rRNA from 1 species
AACCCAUGCCGAACUCAGAAGUGAAACGCCGUAGCGCCGAUGGUAGUGUGGGGUCUCCCCAUGCGAGAGUAGGACACUGCCAGGCA